rnacentral:rRNA from 1 species
UACGAGGGGUGCAAGCGUUGCUCGGAAUUAUUGGGCGUAAAGGGUUGGUAGGUGGUCUUGUUUGUCUAGGGUGAAAUCCCAUGGCUUAACUGUGGAAGUGCCCUAGAAACGGCAAGACUAGAGUCCUAGAGGGGUUUGUGGAAUUCCCGGUGUAGCGGUGAAAUGCGUAGAGAUCGGGAGGAACACCAGCGGCGAAGGCGGCAAACUGGAUAGGAACUGACACUCAACAACGAAAA